AAGUCGUAACAAGGUUUCCGUAGGUGAACCUGCGGAAGGAUCAUUAAAGGGAACCCGGGGCCACGCCCCCGUCCUCCCACCCAUGAAUACGCGAGGCCGAUCAUCGAGUUACUUCGGCGGACGUUUUCGCCGCCGAGCAACCGUUCAAAACCCUAUUUCAACGUGCCGUCUGAACAAAAACACAAACGAAUCAAAACUUUCAACAACGGAUCUCUUGGUUCUG
rnacentral:misc_RNA from 1 species